CGCGUUUGUUAAGGCGAGUACAACGGCCGCCCAAACGAGCCGCCGUUUCGUGGCUUGCGCGCGUGCGAGUUUGCGUGCAGCGCGUGCUGCACGCACACGCGACAUCUGGCGGCGAAACCCAUCUCCGCAAGAGAGGAGACCGCGCGAUUAACUUCGGCCUGACGGCCUAACUCGAACAGACGAACCCCGCGUGGGGGAAAGACGUGCAGAGAGUGAGGACCAAUGAGACAAAAGGUAAAAAGAAAGCCGCCGGCUUGGCUGUUACGUGAACAGCCUGCGCCGGAGCUAGGGGCUCGAGGUCGAGGAAAGGUUGAGGAAAGUGAUCGGCCGGGCAGGUCUGGUUACGUUGCGUUUUGGACUGUGCGUGUACGCUGCGCGUUAACCUGGUUAGUGUCCGAGACAGGCAUGGUCUACACUGCCUUCGCUUUCGCCCUGCUGGCACUCGCAAUGACUUUGGCGGUGUUCGUUGAGCGCACAGAGGCGGUACCCGAAAUCAUGACGGACAGAAGGUGCAAGGUCGCCGGCGAGAUGUACAGGACGGCGAGGGCCGGCUGUGCCGAGACCGCAUGUGACCAGCGGCCCGCGAAGGGCGGCUGCGGAGGCAGGAUGGUGCGAGGUUGCUUCUGCAGACCGGGGCUGCGCCGCAACCGACAGAAGGUUUGCGUGCUGCCCUUCGAGUGUCCCUGAACUGUAGCGCACGAAAGACAGUCGGCGGACAGACGGCGGGAAAUGAAAUCAACGAGACGUGCAGCCGGUGUGCUACCCUGAGCAAAGGCCGGAACGAAAGGAUGGCGAGAGAGACUAUAUACGAGCCCUGCGCGUAAGGACGUAUGCUGGCCAGAUCGAAGUAAACCUCAUUACCACGACA